rnacentral:lncRNA from 1 species
GAGAAGUUAACUGUUAUUUUGAACUCUGAAUCUCAUAUAGACCAGUGUUCACUUUAUCUUACUCUCUCUCUCUCCUCUCUCUCACUCUCUGUCUCUGAAAUUUCUUCAGAUUUUUUAUUUGUUUCUGGUGCUCUUACUUUUCACAAUGUUGGAACUUAUUGAUGGUUCUGUCUGUGUCUAUUGGGCUGGACAUGCUUUAGGAUCUUUUAUAACCUGUACUCAGUUUGAGUAGUUUCUUGGGUUGAUUCCGUUUUGAUUUUCUCAUUUCUUUGGAAAUUUAUAAUUUUAAAAUUUUGGACCACUGAGAACAUUUUUAAAUUGUCUUAAUCUAACUUUCCACUUCUAUUCUUUUGCCUAUUCUUCUUAGAUAAUUUUUACACUUUAUUUUCAAGCCCUUCUAUUAAUAUUUUUAUUUCUGCUGUGUUAUUUCUAAGACUUACAGAUUUUAUAAUGCUAUUUUUUAGCAUCUCUCCUAUUUUGUGGAUAUGUCAUCUUUUCUCUCUGAAUAUGAUAAUGAGGCUUUCAUUUGUUUUCUAAGUUUUUAUAUCCCUAGGUAUUUACUGUUUUGAUAAUUUUUUCUUCCCUGUUUGUUUGCUUUGCUUUUUUCUUCCAAGAUAAAGCCUGGAAGCUGCACGUCACCUGCCAGCUUUGUGUGUGCCCAGUGAGGUGGCAUAAUGACCAGCGGUGACUUGAAUGACAAGGGGACAGAACAGCUGGACAAUCCAAUUCCUAGAUGCUUUCUCCAGUUAUGGCCCUGACUGGGAUCUCCGAAGAAUGACUCAGCUGAAACUGUCAAUUUCAUCAUUGCCUACAUUUGUCUUCAGACGACCUGCAGUACAAACUUGGCUUAAACCUGCAGUUGACAAUGGAUUCACCGUGGGAGAAUAAAUUACAAUGGAUAAAAAACAGCAUUACAAUCCCUCAAUAAAAUGGGAUUUUAACAGACAAAGGUGAGUCAGUGGUGAAAGGCAGGAGAAGAUACAACAGGUAAGUGUCUGACUUCAGGCUGGAGCCCUAAUAUAAUAAUAAGUCCUUCUUGUAUUGUAAUCUCUUACAGCUGAAUCUCCAUGUGCUCUCUCUCUCUUCUAACAUCAAUGCAGCUCCUGGUAUGUGGUCGUUCUCAGGCCCAAAGGCCCAUUUUGCUUUUGGCUGCAACUCUGUAACUCUGUAACAGAGACCAAGUGCCUGCAGGGAGCAGAUGUUUGGGGCAGUAUCUGCUAAGGUGGCUUUGCUGAAACUUGUUUCUCUCAUUGGGUCUUGGAAGUGGCGAAUAGGACGUUCCUAUAGAAAAACUCAGAAAGAUAAUGAAGCUGCUAUUUGCAAGAACUGCAUCUGUCUGACUCUCAGACAGAUCUACACCAGUGUUUAGCAGACAUGCCAAAUGAUAAGAGUCAAUCACAGCCUCUGUAGAAAAUACUGGAACCCUGAUGUGGACUUACUGAAUCAGAAUCUCCAGGCAAUAAGCUUGAGAUUCUCUGGCCUCUGAUGGGGCAAACAUACAGUGGGAAGCAUUCCCUUAGAGAAGUAACUUCAGAUCUGCUUUUGUGAUACUUAA